UACGUAGGGGGCUAGCGUUAUCCGGAAUUACUGGGCGUAAAGGGUGCGUAGGUGGUUUCUUAAGUCAGAGGUGAAAGGCUACGGCUCAACCGUAGUAAGCCUUUGAAACUGGGAAACUUGAGUGCAGGAGAGGAGAGUGGAAUUCCUAGUGUAGCGGUGAAAUGCGUAGAUAUUAGGAGGAACACCAGUUGCGAAGGCGGCUCUCUGGACUGUAACUGACACUGAGGCACGAAAGCGUGGUGAGCAAACAGGAUUAGAUACCCCGGUAGUCCCUGAGCGGG
rnacentral:rRNA from 1 species